CUUUCCAUCAGCACAGUUGCAUCUAUUUCCCCCUCUCUUUUUCUUUUCUCAGCCUAGGAGCAAAACAAGGAAGAAAAGUUUGUAGAGUUAAGUUUUUGCUGCUGAAGUUGCUAAUCAGGGAGGGGGGGAGGGGGGGGUUGGACCAUUAGAGUUGAGAACGAAUUGAAGUCUGAGAAUCCGUAAGGGAAGCUUUUGGAGCUGGGAAAACGGUUGGAGAAGCCUUGAAUUAAGGUUAGACGUGCUCGAAAGUCUAGAUUGACAUUUGGACAGAUUUGCGGCGCACUAAUUACGAUAAAAGCUGUUCUAGCUCUAUUUGCACCGAGUCGCGAGAGGUCAUUUUUGGCAUAGUUCGAGACGUUGAUUCUAGCUAUUGGCAUCCCUACAGGUUCCACCGCGAGCGGUGUGGCCGAGGAUCGCGGCAAGAGCCGAGCAGCCUAGCUAGUGCACACCCGAGUUCUAGUGGUAUACCAUUUUGGGUUCAUGUGAUACAUUUUGAUGUACAGAGACUUGUAAAUGAAUGUAUAAAAGAGCAUAUAAAUAACUAAAUGUUUCAGUUGUUCAGUUAUGUAUAGUUCAGUUUCAAAGUUUUAAAAUUAUAGUGAAUACAUGUUUAGUUAAGUUCAGUUUCA